rnacentral:lncRNA from 1 species
GAGUAAUGCCUGUCACCAUGUGUGAGGAGAGGAGGAGACAGGUCUUCUUUCUUGUGUGGAUUAUAAAAUCAACCUUCCUGUUAUAUUCACUUGACUCCUUAUUUUCAACUAUCAAGAGCCCCUGCUGUGAAUCAGUCAUCUAUUUCCCACUUAUCUUUUGUCUUUAGAUCAUUUUGAAACUCUACCAGAGGAUAUGUUUGGAUUUCUGGCUUAAAUGAGGCUUGAAAAUUGGGUGUGAAACUGGAUCAUUUAUUUCGUUAUUAGUAUUACUUAUUAACCAAUAAAUGCAUUUAAUUAAC